AAUAACCAAAUAUAACACUUGGGCUAAGAGUCAAGUUGGUAAUUUUUCUUACAUCUCCCCCUCCCGGAGCCCAGGUAUCAUAUACGCCCCCAAAAUAAAGAGCCUUGAAUACUAGAAGAAAAGCGCCCUAUACCCUAGCAAAAAUUAAGUGAAUACCCCAAAAUUGUGGUCAAUUUUAUUCUAUCUUUCCA
rnacentral:antisense_RNA from 1 species